AGCAAAGACAUUUUUUCAAUAAAGUUUAGUGAAUAAAAAAAGGUAAAACAACAGAGUAACUGAAAUGGAACGUUGGUAGCCAAUCAGCAUCCAGUAUAGUCCAUCUAGUGAACGAUCCCCAAAUAUUCUCCCUCUUUCGAGCUGCGAAUGUAGAAGAAGUGUCUAGUAGAGUAGCUCCAAGGAUAGAAUGAUGAAACUCCAA